ensembl:lncRNA
UUUAGGUCAGGGAGGACAGUUUGUGAAAGUGGAACUCAUUUAUUACAUUUACAUACAAUUAAAAAAUGUUAAAACGCUGUUUGGAGAACAGCAACAACAAGCGAAAAUGCCCCCAGCCAUUAUCACCUCGGCUGCUGUAGAUUCAUUCACCUCAGGAGAUCUACAAACACGUUUGUAUUUCAUUUUUAGAACUGUAUUGUUUGCUUUCUGAUUAUAUUUUAAUAGGAUCUGUGGAGAUGUUCCUAUUGAAACAUACAGGGGUUGUAGUUUAAUGUCGGCCCGUGGGGAAGAUAGGUCCUGUGGAGAUGUUCCUAUUGAAACAUACAGGGGUUGUAUUUUAAUGUCUGCCCGUGGGGAAGAUAGGUCCUGUGGAGAUGUUCCUAUUGAAACAUACAGUGGUUGUAUUUUAAUGUCGGCCCGUGGGGAAGAUGGGUCCUGUGGAGAUGUUCCUAUUGAAACAUACAGUGGUUGUAUUUUAAUGUUGGCCCGUGGGGAAGAUGGGUCCUGUGGAGAUGUUCCUAUUGAAACAUACAGUGGUUGUAUUUUAAUGUAGACCUAUAGGGAAGAUAGGUCCUGUGGAGAUGUUCAUAUUGAUACAGUGGUUGUAUUUUAAUGUAGACCUAUAGGGAAGAUACAGUAUAUCACAAAAGUGAGUACACCCCUCACAUUUUUGUAAAUAUUUGAGUAUAUAUUUUCAUGUGACAACACUGAAGAAAUGACACUUUGCUACAAUGUAAAGUAGUGAGUGUACAGCUUGUAUAACAGUGUACAUUUGCUGUCCCCUCAAAAUAACUCCACACACAGCCAUUAAUGUCUAAACCGCUGGCAACAAAAGUGAGUACACCCCUAAGUGAAAAUGUCCAAAUUGGGCCCAAAGUGUCAAUAUUUUGUGGCCACCAUAAUUUUCCAGCACUGCCUUAUGGAGUUCACCAGAGCUUCACAGGUUGCCACUGGAGUCCUCCUCCAUGACGACAUCACGGAGCUGGUGGAUGUUAGAGACCUUGCACUCCUCCACCUUCCGUUUGAGGAUGCCCCACAGAUGCUCAAUAGGGUUUAGGUCUGGAGACAUGCUUGGCCAGUCCAUCACCUUUACCCUCAGCUUCUUUAGCAAGGCAGUGGUCGUCUUGGAGAGGUGUGUUUGGGGUCGUUAUCAUGUUGAAAUACUGCCCUGCAGCCCAGUCUCUGAAGGGAGGGGAUCAUGCUCUGCUUCAGUAUUUCAUUUUCUAUGAAGGUAUCUUUACUUUCACUGAAGUAUGACAAUUGGGUACUUUUUCCACCACUCUACACACACACACACACACACACACACACGGCUAUAUUUGCUCACUCAUCACCUCUCUACACUGGGCCGUUUUGUGUUGAAACUGUUGGGCCUUUUUCCAUGGUGUAAACAACAUAUCCAAAUCUCGUUUCCUCCCCGUUGUCUAGUACGUUGGGUUACAAAUGUUUAUCAUGAAAAUAUGUACAGUACCACGAUGUAGCUAGCGGACUUAAUGGAUCAGGAAAUGUAAUGUGAAUGUUACCCAGAACAAUGAGGCCAUUAUAAAUGAUAUACAUUAUAUACAUUAAAAGGACAGACAUGUGCAGGUUUGAAAAGGGGCAAAACA